CAAUAGCGUAUACUAAAGUUGUUGCGAUUAAAAAGCUCGUGGUUGGAUCUCAGGCAUGGGCGCACGGUCCGCCUCGCGGCGGUCACUGUGUGUUUUGUUUCCCAUCCUACGCUUCCCGGUUAUCAGCCCAUGGUGCUCUUCACUGAGCGUUUUGGGUGGCCGGAACGUUUACUUUGAAGAAAUUAGAGUGUUCAAAGCAGGCACGUCGCCUGAAUAAUGGUGCAUGGAAUAAUGGAAUAGGACCUCGGUUCUAUUUUGCUGGUUUUCGGAACACGAGGUAAUGAUUAAGAGGGACAGACGGGGGCAUCCGUAUUGCGGUGUUAGAGGUGAAAUUCUUGGAUCAUCGCAAGACGAACAACUGCGAAAGCAUUUGCCAAGCAUGUUUUCAUUAG
rnacentral:rRNA from 1 species